UAACAAAAAAAAAUCGGUAUGUUGCUUUUUUUGUGACUUUUCGGAUUUUGGGUUAUCUUAAUGUUUUUAAAAUUUAAGAGGCUUAAAAUUGAUCUCUUGCGCAUUAUUUUUAGAUGUACAUAAAUUCUUUUAUUCGUCAUAUAAUGCCAAAAUUUGUUAGAUACGAUCAUACUGUGUGGUUCGUACCUAAAAUUUUUCAUA